AUGUAUGAAGCAGCGUGGGGUGGGAGAAUAGCCCAUCAUUCAGCUUCAGCUAAAGUAGGAGGAGUGGGUGAGUCAGUCUGUCUAAUGACUUAUCGUGGUGUUUUUCUUUCUAAAGACUUGAUGCUGGAGAGUCUAAGUGAAGAGGAGACUCAUCCAGUUUGUCCUGAGGAUGGCCUGUUUUUAAGAGGCUCACCACAACGCAAAGAUGAAGAAGAAGAAAAAGAAGAUGAUGAUGAUGAUGUCCAUGGAACAGCUUGGAAUGAAAACGACUUGACGCUGGAGAGUAUAAGUGACGAGGAGACUCAUCCAGGUAGGGAACUACGUGCCAGGAAAAACCCAAUGGGAAAAGGUUCCCAGGAGCCUCCAGGUUAUCCCUGCUGCUUGUGAGGAGGGGCUGAAAGAGGGAGUAUGAAAUCAGAAAGAAAAUGGAAAUAUGUGUGAGGUCUGGCUUGUUGUUUUCAGUUUCUUGGCAUCAUGGUAAGAACUGUCUCUAUGGGCUUUGGGGGUGCCACGUUCAUGAGAGAUUCUCUUUGCAGUCCACCUGCUCUUUUCUGCCUGUGGAACAUGAGAGCCUUUGGUUUGGAUUAGUCAGCACUCCUAGGGAUUGUACACAGGGUGUAGGCUUAAGCACUGGGUGUCAUCUGUGAUGAAGGGACUCUGGGGGACACAGCUCUCUCACAAGCAUUUCCUGGAACCUAGAGAAACAGUUCUUCUGCUGUGUGCCAAGGGGAAAUCAAGAGUACCCUCUGAACUUUCAGGACUUGUUAGUGCAUGUUCAUGUGUCUGUCCUCACUGUGCGUUCCUGGUCUAAAGGAAUCUCCUGGGGUAGAUGGCGGAGUGAAUACUCACGCUGGGCUCACUGGUAAAACUCCAGUCUCCUUUGAAGGGAGAAGGAAUGUUUGACCUUGAGCAUAUUUCCAGCCUCCAGUUCCAACCCAGUCACAGAUUCUGAGAUGAGGUUUCUUUCUCCCCAGUUCUCUAAUUUUUGGAGAAGCCAAUAGUUCCUUCCCACAAAAGAUAGUAUCACACUAUUUCCUAUCUUCAAAACUUUGGCUUUGGUUUUGUUCUCUAAGUUGAUAUUCAUCACUUAAGUUCUAGACUUUUUCUUUUUUUAUUUUUAUUUUUCUGAGACAGUCUCGCUCUCUCGCCCAGGCUGGAGUGCAGUGGUGUGAUCUCAGCUCACUGCAAGCUCUGCCUCCCGGGUUCGCACCAUUCUUCUGCCUCAGCCUCCCGAGUAGCUGGGACUACAGGCGCCCACCACCACGCUUGGCUAAUUUUUUUGUAUUUUUGAUAGAGACAGGGUUUCACCAUGUUGGCCAGGCUGGUCGUGAACUCUUGACAUCAGGUCAUCAGCCCACCUCAGCCUCCCAAAGUGCUGGAAUUACAGGUGUGAGCCAGAGUGCUCAGCCAAAAAAAUAAUUUUUACGUAAGCUAGUUAACCAAAAAUCACCCCCGUACUCAUGAACAUUUUUUCAUGAAUUCAUUCAUUUCUAUUGGUAUACAUUUCCUCAUUUCAGUAGAGAAUGUGUAUUUGAACCUGGAAGCUUAUCCUCACGGCAGAAAGUGUUCAGAGUCGUGUCUCUCAGCUUCACUGGUGUAGGUAGAGCAGGCUGUGUGAGAUUGGCCUGUUUGAAGGAAGCCUGAUUUUUAGGGAAUCUCCUCAGGGAGAGUCGUCACACAGGAGCUGCUGGAGCGCCUGAUCACAGGGGUCCAAAAGGGUGUGUAGAAGUGGUUCCAGAAGAAGACUUACAAAGAGGAAAUCAUGACUAUUUUUAAUUGCAGCAUUGUAACAUUGAAUUUUUAAA
rnacentral:lncRNA from 10 species